AAAAGCAAGUGCUUGUGUCCACCAGGAAGAAGUCAUGUACUGAGAGAAUGCAGUGACAUACUCAUUUUUCUCCUCUGGCCUUUGUGGAGCAGUUGCGGAGAUUGAGGAACCACCCUCUGAAAGGAAAGGAAAAGAAAAAAAACUCAUCCCCCACCCCUUUUUUUCCCUUUUCACUGCAACAAAACUCUUCUGUCGGUGGGAUUCUCCAAGCAAGAAUACUGGAGUGGGUUGCCAUGCCCAUCUCCAGAGGAUCUUCCCAACCCAGGGAUCGAACCCGCAUCUCUUAUGUCUCCUGCAUUGGCAGGUGGGUUCUUUACCACUAGUGCCACCUGGGAAGCCUAUCUCCUAUACUUAGAAAAGUUAA
rnacentral:lncRNA from 1 species